GGUUAAGCGACUAAGCGUACACGGUGGAUGCCCUGGCAGUCAGAGGCGAUGAAGGACGUGCUAAUCUGCGAUAAGCGCCGGUAAGGUGAUAUGAACCGUUAUAACCGGCGAUUUCCGAAUGGGGAAACCCAGU
rnacentral:rRNA from 2 species